GGGACUCGACCUUCCCUCUGUGCCUAAGGUAACCCGUUAAGCUAGCCGCCUGUGUAGUACGAUCGCAAGAUUAAAACACAAAGGAAUAGACGGGGACCCACACAAGCGGUGGAACAUGGGGUUUAAUUCGUCAAUAAGCGAGUAACCUCACCCAGACUUGACAUCCUAUUCGCACCUUUUAGAAAUAAUUGGGUCGGUUCGGCCGGAAUAGUGACAGGCGUUGCAUGGUUGUCGUCAGCUCGUGCCUUGAGGUGUUCGGUUAAGUCCGUUAACGAGCGCAACCCUCGUCGUAUGUUGUAUUUUCAUGCGAGACUGCCCAUCAUAAAUGGGAGGAAGGUGAGGAUGACGUCAAAUCAGCAUGACCCUUAUGUCUGGGGCUACACCCGUGUUACAAUGGGACGUACAAACUGAAGCGAAGCGGUAACGUGGAGCCAAUCGGAAAAAACGUCUCUCAGUUCGGAUUGAAGUCUGAAACUCGACUUCAUGAAGUUGGAAUCGCUAGUAAACGUAUAUCAGUCAUGGUACGUUGAAUAUGUUCCCUGGGUCUUGUACUCCUCGCCCGUCAAGGCAUGGGAGUCGGGAGUGCUCGAAGUCUGCAAAAUAAUUGUGGCC
rnacentral:rRNA from 1 species